UACGAGGGGGGCAAGCGUUGUUCGGAAUUAUUGGGCGUAAAGGGCGCGUAGGCGGCGCGGUAUGUCUCUUGUGAAAUCUCCAGGCUCAACUUGGAGUCUGCAAGGGAAACUGCCGUGCUUGAGUACUGGAGAGGUGAGUGGAAUUCCCAGUAUAGCGGUGAAAUGCGUAGAUAUUGGGAGGAACACCAGUGGCGAAGGCGGCUCACUGGACCGGAACUGACGCUGAGGCGCGAAAGCGUGGGGAGCAAACGGG
rnacentral:rRNA from 1 species